GGCUCAAAUUCGGCUUGAAAUUAAUUUCGAGCCUAAAUUUAAGCUCAAGCUUGGAUUGAAAUUAAUUCGAGCUGAGCUCGAGCGAGCCUAAUUUCAAGUCGAGCGAGCUCGAGCCCUAAAUGAGCCGCUUGAAAUUCUCAAUAUUAUACGAUCAAUAGUUUAAUUUGUAUAGAACAUUAUCUAUAAUUUGAUACAAAAAUAUGUUUAAUAAUUCAAAGUACAAAAUAAUUAUAUGAAAUAUAGUAUUAUAAUAUGAAAAAAAAUAAUUUAUGAGUUGAAUAUCU
rnacentral:lncRNA from 1 species